GACGGAGGAUGCAAGCGUUAUCCGGAAUUAUUGGGCGUAAAGCGUCCGCAGGUGGCAUUUCAAGUCUGCUGUCAAAGACCGGGGCUUAACCCCAGAAAGGCAGUGGAAACUGAGAAGCUAGAGAUAGGUAGGGGCAGUGGGAAUUCCCAGUGUAGCGGUGAAAUGCGUAGAGAUUGGGAGGAACACCAGUGGCGAAGGCGGCUCACUGGACCGGUACUGACGCUGAGGUGCGAAAGCGUGGGGAGCAAACAGG
rnacentral:rRNA from 1 species